AACCUGCGGAGGGAUCAUUACCGAGUUUACAACUCCCAAACCCCUGUGAACAUACCACUUGUUGCCUCGGCGGAUCAGCCCGCUCCCGGUAAAACGGGACGGCCCGCCAGAGGACCCCUAAACUCUGUUUCUAUAUGUAACUUCUGAGUAAAACCAUAAAUAAAUCAAAACUUUCAACAACGGAUCUCUUGGUUCUGGCAUCGAUGAAGAACGCAGCAAAAUGCGAUAAGUAAUGUGAAUUGCAGAAUUCAGUGAAUCAUCGAAUCUUUGAACGCACAUUGCGCCCGCCAGUAUUCUGGCGGGCAUGCCUGUUCGAGCGUCAUUUCAACCCUCAAGCACAGCUUGGUGUUGGGACUCGCGUUAAUUCGCGUUCCUCAAAUUGAUUGGCGGUCACGUCGAGCUUCCAUAGCGUAGUAGUAAAACCCUCGUUACUGGUAAUCGUCGCGGCCACGCCGUUAAACCCCAACUUCUGACAUGUGA
rnacentral:rRNA from 1 species